rnacentral:rRNA from 1 species
AUUGAACGCUGGCGGAAUGCUUUACACAUGCAAGUCGAACGGUAGAGGGGGCAACCCCUCGAGAGUGGCGAACGGGUGAGUAAUAUAUCGGAACGUGCCCAGUCGUGGGGGAUAACGUAGCGAAAGUUACGCUAAUACCGCAUACGAUCUACGGAUGAAAGCGGGGGAUCGCAAGACCUCGCGCGAUUGGAGCGGCCGAUAUCAGAUUAGGUAGUUGGUGGGGUAAAGGCUCACCAAGCCAACGAUCUGUAGCUGGUCUGAGAGGACGACCAGCCACACUGGAACUGAGACACGGUCCAGACUCCUACGGGAGGCAGCAGUGGGGAAUUUUGGACAAUGGACGCAAGUCUGAUCCAGCCAUUCCGCGUGCAGGAUGAAGGCCCUCGGGUUGUAAACUGCUUUUGUACGGAACGAAAAGGUUUCUAUUAAUACUAGGAGCUCAUGACGGUACCGUAAGAAUAAGCACGGCUAACUACGUG